UGACGCGCAUGAAUGGAUUA
rnacentral:ncRNA from 2 species